rnacentral:rRNA from 1 species
CACGUAGGGCGCAAGCGUUGUCCGGAAUUAUUGGGCGUAAAGAGCUCGUAGGUGGUUUGUCGCGUUGUCCGUGAAAACUCACAACUCAAUUGUGGGCGUGCGGGCGAUACGGGCAGACUGGAGUACUGCAGGGGAGACUGGAAUUCCUGGUGUAGCGGUGGAAUGCGCAGAUAUCGGGAGGAACACCGGUGGCGAAGGCGGUUCUCUGGGCCUUACCUGACGCUGAGGAGCGAAAGCGUGGGGAGCGAACAGG